GACGUAGGGGGCGAGCGUUGUCCGGAUUUAUUGGGCGUAAAGCGUGCGUAGGCGGCUGCGCAAGUCGGGUGUGAAACCCCGGGGCUCAGCCCCGGAACUGCAUCCGAUACUGCGUGGCUAGAGGUAGGUAGGGGAGAUCGGAAUUCCUGGUGUAGCGGUGAAAUGCGCAGAUAUCAGGAGGAACACCGGUGGCGAAGGCGGAUCUCUGGGCCUUACCUGACGCUCAGGCACGAAAGCUAGGGGAGCGAACAGG
rnacentral:rRNA from 1 species